rnacentral:rRNA from 1 species
UCCAAUCGAACUCGGAGAUAGCUGGUUCUCCCCGAAAUAGCUUUAGGGCUAGCGUCGAGGUAAAGUCGUGUGAAGGUAGAGCACUGAAUAUGUGAUGGCCCCAUCCCGGGGUACUGAAUAUAAUCAAACUCCGAAUGUCACAAAGAUAUACUCGGCAGUCAGACAGUGGGUGAUAAGGUCCAUUGUCAAAAGGGAAACAGCCCAGACCAUCAGCUAAGGUCCCAAAAUAUAUACUAAGUGGAAAAGGAUGUGGAGAUGUCCAGACAACUAGGAGGUUGGCUCAGAAGCAGCCAUCCUUUAAAGAGUGCGUAACAGCUCACUAGUCGAAUGACUCUGCGCCGAUAAUUUACCGGGGCUAAGUAUAUUACCGAAGCUAUGGAUUUACGCAGAAGCGUGAGUGGUAGGGGAGCGUUCUAUGUACAGAGAAGCGGUACCGGAAGGAGCCGUGGAGAGCAUAGAAGAGAGAAUGCCGGUGUGAGUAGCGGAACGCGGGUGAGAAUCCCGCGCACCGAAAACCCAAGGUUUCCAGAGGAAGGUUCGUCCGCUCUGGGUAAGUCGGGACCUAAGGCGAGGCCGAGAGGCGUAGUCGAUGGACAACAGGUAGAGAUUCCUGUACUUACGGUAUGAAUGAAGGAGUGACGGAGAAGGCUAGCGGAUCCUGCUGCUGGAAUAGCAGGUGCAAGCGAGGUAGCUGACAGCCAGGCAAAUCCGGCUGUCGAAAGGCGAAGACGUGAAGCGGAUGGAAAGCUGAGGCAAGUACAGAAGUCCGUGAAGCAGGCUUCCAAGAAAAGCUUCUAGUGUUAAUCAUACAGUAACCCGUACCGAAAAUGGACACACAUGGGUGAGGAGAGAAUCCUAAGGUGAGCGAGAGAACUAUAGCUAAGGAACUCUGCAAAAUGACUCCGUAACUUAGGGAUAAGGAGUGCUCAUAGAGAUAUGAGCCGCAGUGAAACGGCCCAAGCGACUGUUUACCAAAAACACAGCUCUAUGCUAAGUCGAAAGACGACGUAUAUGGGGUGACGCCUGCCCGGUGCUGGAAGGUUAAGAGGAUGUGUCAGCGAAAGCGAAGCAUUGAAUUGAAGCCCCAGUAAACGGCGGCCGUAACUAUAACGGUCCUAAGGUAGCGAAAUUCCUUGUCAGGUAAGUUCUGACCCGCACGAAAGGCGUAACGAUUUGGGCGCUGUCUCAGCUGUAGACUCGGUGAAGUCUUAGUACCUGUGAAGAUGCAGGUUACCCGCGACUAGACGGAAAGACCCCAUGGAGCUUUACUGCAGCUUGAUAUUGGACUUUGAUGCAAGAUGUACAGGAUAGGUAGGAGACUGAGAGACAUGCACGCCAGUGUGUGAGGAGUCGAUGUUGGGAUACUACUCUUCUUGUAUUGGAGUUCUAACCGGAUGCCAUGGAACUGGCAACGGGACAGUGUCAGGCGGGCAGUUUGACUGGGGCGGUCGCCUCCCAAAGAGUAACGGAGGCGCCCAAAGAUACCCUCAGCUUGGAUGGAAAUCAAGCGCAGAGUGCAAAGGCAUAAGGGUGUUUGACUGCGAGACCAACAAGUCGAGCAGGGACGAAAGUCGGGCUUAGUGAUCCGGCGGUGCUGAAUGGAAAGGCCGUCGCUCAACGGAUAAAAGCUACCCUGGGGAUAACAGGCUGAUCUCCCCCAA